rnacentral:lncRNA from 1 species
UUUUUUUUUUUUUUUUUUUUUUUAAUUUGAUGACAAUAGAAGAAAUAGCUUGAAAAGGUGUUUUAACCUUUUGUGAUAUAGUUGAGCAUCCAGAAUAUUAUGUUCAUCUUACUGCUGCUGUGGAACAGGUUCUGGAUUUCAUGCUGCAUUAACAAAAAGUUUUUCAAUUAACUGUAAGUAUCCUUUGUUGCUUGUUGGAAUCUACUCUGCAGACAUAACUCCUGUUAUCUCGCUUAUAAGAAAUGCAUAAUUUUAAUCUGGUGUCAGUCCAAAAUUUAAAAUUGUGCUGUAAGUUCUUUCUCCCCAGUUUUUAUAGUUUGACAGCUUGCAAACUACUCUGUAAUAGGGUCAGAGUUAAUAGUAUUCUGUAUCCAUAGUAAUGACUGUGUAUCGGGCUUAGAUGAGAAUUUUUUCAAUAUAACCUGCCUUUAAAUUGUUAAUGAACAAAAUUUCUUUAAAGGUAGGCUUGUUAAUUUUCUUUGUGUGUUCCUGAUGGAAUUCACCAUAGCCUUACAGCAUAUCUGAAAAGGUAACUCAUUAUAAGAGAAUUGGCAUUUGCAUGUUCAAGUCAGAACCUGUACAGUAUAUAAGGCGUACAAACUUUGAAUUGGGUUUUAGUUAACUAUAUUCAGGGGUCCAGGAUGCCAAAAUAAGUGUGACAGUUUGAAACAUUUUUUUAAUUUGCUGCUUUCCCUUUGAUCUAGUUGGAAGAAUGUAUUGAUGAUUUGUAUACAAUACUGCCUUUGAGAGGGGCUCUUAAGUGGGGGGGCACACUUCACAUAUCUACUACCUGGAGAAUUGCUUUGUGUCCCACUGUUUAAACAAAUAAUUUAAAAAAGAAAAAGGCAAAAAGUAUGAUGUUCUUCACUUGAACUAAUCAAAUACAAUAGGUUAUAAAUUGUGUAUUGUAAAUAAAAGUUCACUCUGUGAGUGCACAUUUUGGUAAAUUAUUUAUUUAUGUUAGCAUUAAAAAGUUUAAAAAUUUGCAUUUGACCAGGAUAUAAAUAAGGUAUGUUGGACAUGGCUUUGCUUUAUACCUUGAUAUUAAAACUGGUGUUUCAUCCUGGUAUUUUAAAGCUGCUUUGAGUUCUUUUUUUUUUUUUUUUUUUUUUUUUUUUUAAUGUAAACUAACCUCCUGCAUGACAGAGGUUAAAAUUUUGUCUGCACUUGAGUUCACUUGGGUUUACAUUUGAAAUGCGCAUGUUUAUUUAUACAGAUUUCAAUAAAGCUAUUCAAGGCCUUA